AGUGUUACUUAGUACUGUAUUUCUAAGGAAACCAAGCUUGCUGAUGGGACAGAACAGGGAGACAAUUUUCAACGUCAUUUUCCUCUAACUGUGUGGUCUCUCUCACAGGUAUACAAGGACCCCAGAACCUUAACACAAUUAUGAGGUGGAAGAAAUGGGGAACACCAGGCCUGGCCUCAUGGAGACUGGGGAGUCAGAACCUGAGCUCUGGCUCCUGGAGCUGCUGUGAGUGAGCGGUGGAAACCUGUCCCUUAGAGAAGCUGCAGCUGAUCAGCAUCAUGCAAGGGACUCCUGAGAUGGUAGCAUGCUGCAUAGGAACCAGCUACAGAAUUUGCAAGUGGAGAAUCCAGUGGGUAGGCCUUCUCCAAUCAGGCCUUAAGAGCAAAGACCAUGGUUUCUCAAAGAAAGAAUUUUCCUCAAGACUGCAACAUAGAGACCUUGCCUGAGUUUCCAGCCUGAUACCCUGCAGAAUUUGGACUCAAGACUGCAAUAUCAGCUCUUUCCUGAAUUUCUAGCCUGCUGGCCUGCCCUACAGAUUUUAGAUCUCCCAGCCCAAUUACAUGAGCUAAUUCCUUAAAAUAAAUAAAUCUCUGUGUGCGUA